UAACCGUUGUCAUGCGGUUUGUGGAUGUUGCUGGUAGAAGGUAAAUUUGUUCUUUCUUUUUUUUUAAAGUUCCGUUUGAAUGACAACAAAGCCUUACCCUAAAACACAAGAUAUCUGUGCAACAAGGAAUUUAAAAAACAAGAUAUCAGCACACUUUUCUACUGGCAAAAUUGAAGUUACUGUCACAAAUGUGCCGAUAAUAUGAUGGUGGAUUUGUUGAUUAUUAGUGUCUAUUUGAUGGUAUAGAAAAUGAAGUUUGACUGCUAAUGUGAUUCCAUUGGAUUAUGCCAUACAUAAGCAUCACUGUUGAGUCAGGUUUGACUGGAUGGCUCAUGGACAAUAUGGUUUCCCUAAGUAACUUACCAAAGUACUAUAGUCCAUAACUUAAUGAAAAAGAACCGAGAAAUGCCGAAAAUUGUUCAGGUUUUACUGCAGCAAUAGAGUUAAUACUACGAAAUGUAAGGCUAUGCAGGUCUUAGCUUCUAUUUGAAAUAUAUAUAUUGAUGCCAGUCAGGUCCCUGGACAUGCAUGCACACAUUCUAGAAGCUACUUUAAUGUAAAGUUGCAAAGAAGUUUGACAUUGACCUGCUGGUUCAGAAUGUUUCCCUCUGUUAUUUGAUCUCUUCUCAUAUUUUUACUAUGGUUCCUUGUUCCCUCUUUCUGCAGGAGGUUACUGCUCAUCACAGUCCCGCUCCUGGCAUUAUGUCUUUUCAUCUUAGUCAUAGGAAGCUUU
rnacentral:lncRNA from 1 species